AUAGUCUCCUACUCCUUAAGAAGAUGAACUUUAGAACGAACAGAGCUAAAGAACCAAGACAUCCUAUGAUGAGGAUGACACAUGAAACUGACAUUUUCUGGCCGGGAACGAACCAGCACUGCAGAGGCUGCAGGCAGCCCAGCUGUGAUGCAGGCUAUGGUCAAUCCUCGUGUGCUACCUACCCAAUGACCCCUGAGCAGUUCAGAACAUGUAUGGUGGCUGCAGAGGGACAAUUACAGAACGGCUGUGAAAAUCGAGACUGCUGAGGGAAGGCGCUGUGGUUUACUAUUAUGGCAUGAUUUAGAAGGCCGAGAUCCUGGUUGGAGACAAAUGCUGAGGACUAAGACUUUCGAGGCCUCCAUUAAGAAGCAGAAGUUCGGCAGCCUGCAGUAAGUCAGCCUUGGUGUUGAGAAGGCCUUAAACAUCCUGGGGAGCAGUGGGCUGUGUUAAAAAGAAUAAAAGAGCAUGUGUUGUAUUAAGGAGAAUAAAAGCUUUAACAUGAAGUACUAUUUCAGGACUAUUUAUGCCUUUCAGCUGAGACAGAAGUACUGUACACAGUGGAGCGCGUGGGAUCCCAGAGGCUGCUGGGCUGGCGAUUUCUGAGGCAAAAAUGUCUAAAUGCACGUGAAUUACAAUGCUUUUUAAUUUUAAAUUAUUUUAUGUAUAUUUGGGU